rnacentral:rRNA from 1 species
AGCAGCCGCGGUAAUUCCAGCUCCAAUAGCGUAUAUUAAAGUUGCUGCAGUUAAAAAGCUCGUAGUUGAAUUUCGGGAUCGAUAUAUCGGUCGUGCCUCGGUACGUACUGGUAUUUUCGGUUUCUACCUUCUGACGAACCUUGAUGUCAUUAAUUUGGUGUCUUGGGGAAUCAGGACUGUUACUUUGAAAAAAAUUAGAGUGUUUAAAGCAGGCUCACGCUUGAAUACAUUAGCAUGGAAUAAUGAAAUAGGACGUUUGAUUCUAUUUUGUUGGUUUCUAGGAUCGACGUAAUGAUUAAUAGGGAUAGUUGGGGGCAUUAGUAUUCAAUUGUCAGAGGUGAAAUCCUUGGAUUUAUUGAAGACUAACUACUGCGAAAGCAUUUGCCAAGGAUGUUUUCAUUAAUCAAGAACGAAAGUUAGGGAUCGAAGACGAUCAGAUACCGUCGUAGUCUUAACCAUAAACUAUGCCGACUAGGGAUCGGAUGAUGUUAAUUUUUAAUGUACUCAUUCGGCGCCUUAA